GUAGGUGAACCUGCGGAAGGAUCAUUACCAAUCCAAAACCCCUUUUUCUAUCAACACGCCCAUGUGAACCGAGAAUGGUUUCGUUCCCUUCCUCGAGGAAAACAAAAAGAAGAAAAAAAAAAAGGAAAAAAAGAAGGAAAUCAAAGGUCUCCCUUUGGUUUUGUUUUUAGUUUUCUUUGCUUUUUUUUCUUUCUUUCUUUUUCCUCCUUGGAAAGGAAGGGAAUGUACUUUUUUUUUUCAACCCCUUUACAACCAUAUCAACCCAUAUUUUCUAUGCUGAAAGCAAAACAAAAACGAAACAUGAGACAACUUUUAACGGUGGAUCUCUUGGCUCGU
rnacentral:misc_RNA from 1 species